GACGAACGCUGGCGGCGUGCCUAAUACAUGCAAGUCGAGCGGAUCUGAUGGAGUGCUUGCACUCCUGAUGGUUAGCGGCGGACGGGUGAGUAACACGUAGGUAACCUGCCCGACAGACCGGGAUAACAUUCGGAAACGAAUGCUAAUACCGGAUACGCGAUUUGGUCGCAUGGCCGAAUCGGGAAAGACGGAGCAAUCUGUCACUGUUGGAUGGACCUGCGGCGCAUUAGCUAGUUGGUGAGGUAACGGCUCACCAAGGCGACGAUGCGUAGCCGACCUGAGAGGGUGAUCGGCCACACUGGGACUGAGACACGGCCCAGACUCCUACGGGAGGCAGCAGUAGGGAAUCUUCCGCAAUGGGCGAAAGCCUGACGGAGCAACGCCGCGUGAGUGAUGAAGGUUUUCGGAUCGUGAAGCUCUGUUGCCAGGGAAGAACGCUUAGGAGAGUAACUGCUCCUAAGGUGACGGUACCUGAGAAGAAAGCCCCGGCUAACUACGUGCCAGCAGCCGCCGUAA
rnacentral:rRNA from 1 species